rnacentral:rRNA from 1 species
AUUGAACGCUGGCGGCAGGCUUAACACAUGCAAGUCGAGCGGAGAUGAGGUGCUUGCACCUUAUCUUAGCGGCGGACGGGUGAGUAAUGCUUAGGAAUCUGCCUAUUAGUGGGGGACAACAUUCCGAAAGGAAUGCUAAUACCGCAUACGUACUACGGGAGAAAGCAGGGGAUCUUCGGACCUUGCGCUAAUAGAUGAGCCUAAGUCGGAUUAGCUAGUUGGUGGGGUAAAGGCCUACCAAGGCGACGAUCUGUAGCGGGUCUGAGAGGAUGAUCCGCCACACUGGGACUGAGACACGGCCCAGACGCCUACGGGAGGCAGCAGUGGGGAAUAUUGGACAAUGGGGGAAACCCUGAUCCAGCCAUGCCGCGUGUGUGAAGAAGGCCUUAUGGUUGUAAAGCACUUUAAGCGAGGAGGAGGCUACUGAGACUAAUACUCUUGGAUAGUGGACGUUACUCGCAGAAUAAGCACCGGCUAACUCUGUGCCAGCAGCAGCCGCCG